UGCUCGCCAAUGCUAUGGAGCUUCUGGGGGUUGGGCGUCAGGUCGCUGGCGUCCGUCUUUCUGGCCUUGCGACGGCCCUUCUUCCCUGCGGGCGACAGGGGGCAAUUUAAAGUACUCUCAAACUGAGAUAUUACCGGAACCAUUACAACAACGCGAUUGCUCACUUGCCACGAUGGUCCUGGAGCAACAUUCAUCAUGAGGCUGUGGGAACCCCAUCAACCAGGUGACAUCAGAUCGUGUGUCAUUGGAUGGUGUUGGUGGGAGUCAUGUGGAGUAGCCCCCAGUAGUGUGUGUGUGACAUGCUCACCCUCUCUGCGGUACAGGGUGCUAGGCAGGGUGCUGGAACUCCAGGAGAGCGACCAGCGCAUCUCCCCCGCCAGACGCUUCUUGGCAGCGGACUCGCGGGCACGCCGGUACUCCCAGAAGCACCGGCGCUUCUGAGGUCGCUCCCCACUGGGCUUGACCGCUAGCUCCUCCACCUCUGGAAGGACGGACACACAGGAAAAACACAUUACUUUCCCAUACUUGCUAUUGAUGCACUUCUUAUAAGCAUGCACAGCCUAUCCCUGCCUCCAUCAAAGCAUUGAUUUCAAUUCAGAAGAAUUUACAUUUACAUUUAAAUUUAAUUCUUGUGUGUAUAUGUGUUAUUUUUGGUGCAUCUGGCCUGUUGAUCACAAAGAACAAAUGGGAAACAGCCAUUUUCGCUGACGCACAUUGAAAUGUUCAUGUUUAUUAACGUGCACUGUCCAAAUAAACCUUAAAGGGGACCUAUUAU